AACGAACGCUGGCGGCAGGCCUAACACAUGCAAGUCGAGCGAAACCUUCGGGUUUAGCGGCGGACGGGUGAGUAACGCGUGGGAACGUGCCCUUCUCUACGGAAUAGUCCCGGGAAACUGGGUUUAAUACCGUAUACGCCCUUCGGGGGAAAGAUUUAUCGGAGAGGGAUCGGCCCGCGUUGGAUUAGGUAGUUGGUGCGGUAACGGCGCACCAAGCCGACGAUCCAUAGCUGGUUUGAGAGGAUGAUCAGCCACACUGGGACUGAGACACGGCCCAGACUCCUACGGGAGGCAGCAGUGGGGAAUCUUAGACAAUGGGGGAAACCCUGAUCUAGCCAUGCCGCGUGAGUGACGAAGGCCUUAGGGUCGUAAAGCUCUUUCGCCAGGGAAGAUAAUGACGGUACCUGGUAAAGAAACCCCGGUAACUCCGUGCCAGCGCCGCGGU
rnacentral:rRNA from 1 species